UCACAUGAACUAUUUUAAAGUCAAAACUGGAAAUGGUAUGGCUCCCUGCUGAGCACACUUGUUUGGCCACAAGUCAGUGACAUUGUCUCACCUAAAUGCGGUGAAGAUGCUGAGAGGCAGACAUGUAAUUUUGCUAUUUGUUUAAGAAGAUAACUGUAUGUUGGGAAUAUAUGAAGUCUGUACUACAUAAAGUAUAAUAGAGGAAUUAAUUAUUAUGAUUAUAUUUAAUACGAAAAGCAGUGGAAACUUUAGUUCAAGCAAAAGUUAUAGAAUAAAUUUGGGUCAUUAGCAAAAGAAGUAUUGGAAAGAAGAAAUUACCUCUUGCACCAGGAAAUUCAGAUACUAGGUCUGACAAUGCAUAUUUAUUUUCUUUUCAGACUGGAGGAAGGAAUUUUUCCAGGCUGUGGACGUUACUCUGGAUCCAGUCACAGCUCAUCCUGCCCUCAUCUUGUCUGAAAAGAACAGACGUAUAAUCUGGGGAGAGAAGCCUCAAGAUCUACCUGAGGAUCCACAGAGAUUUUACUCCCUUCCCUGUGUGCUGGGUCAUCAAGUCAUCACUUCAGGGAGAUGCUACUGGGAAGUAGAAGUCGGGGACAGUGGAGCCUGGGACCUGGGAAUUUGUAGGCCUCAUGUAACGAGGAAGGGGAGGAUUUGUAUAAAACCAGAGGAUGGUUUCUGGGCCAUCAGGUUUUAUAAGGAUGAGUACUGGGCACUCACCUCUCCAGAAACACAACUUACUUUAAAGGAGCACCCUGCCACAGUAUGUAUUUUCCUAGAAUAUGAGGAGGGGCGUAUCUCAUUUUAUAAUAUGACAGAUAAAUCCCACAUUCACACCUUGUCUCAAGGAUCCUUUGAUGGGCCCUUAAGGCCAUUUUUCAGACUUUGGUCCAGCGAUUCAGGGCAUUUGACCAUCUGUCCAGUGUCUGAAGCAGCACAGGUGCCCCUGUGCUAGGAGCACCAUUUAAGCUGCGGGUCAGUGUGUAUUGAUGCAUGGACCAUGACAUGAAUUCUCCUAUACCAGAAGCAAGUUACUUUUUCUUAUUCAUUUUUAUGCUUCUCCCUAUUAUUUUAUCUCCUUCAUAAACAGCUCCCCCAAAGCAUGGUGCAGGGUGAAAAACUGUGUGUUGCAUGUGGUAUGUGUAAUGAAAUAUAUAUACAUAGACAUAUAUGUAUAGACAUACUCUCAUUUAAUGUAAUCAUAUUAUCAUUAUAAAUAUACACAAGGAACUAGUGCAUGUGAUCACCCAUACAGUGUUAUAAUUUCUUUAAUAUUACAAACUUAAAGUGACAAAGAUAGGAGUAAGGGAAGAAUAACUUUUUGUUUUAUACUCUUUUUUACCUUUGGGUUUUGUACUACAUUUACAAAGUGAUAUGCAGAAAGAUAAAAUUAAAAGUUUCAAAUAAAAAAUAA